rnacentral:misc_RNA from 1 species
GAUGAAGAACGCAGCGAAAUGCGAUAAGUAAUGUGAAUUGCAGAAUUCAGUGAAUCAUCGAAUCUUUGAACGCACAUUGCGCCCUUUGGCAUUCCGAAGGGCACACCUGUCCGAGCGCCGUCGCACAACUGAGGCGCAGCCUUGCGUUGGCGGGCGACUUGUGAGUAGCGAGUCGCCGCCCAAACGAGACGGCGCCGCGCCGCGGCCGACGAAGCACGAAAGCGGAAGUCGACGCGGAGGCGGUUGCCUGUAGGAAGACACAGCUUGGCCUCGGAUCAGGUGGGGAUACCCGCUGAACUUAAGCAUAUCAAUAACGGAGGA